AAAAGCUCACAAGCCCAAAAUAGGAAAUAGAAAAAAAUGCUCUAUGAUUAAUUGACACCCUGCAUGUGUAAUAUAUUUGGUUAACGAUCGAUUUGACUAUUCUUUCCUACAAGAUCGUUUAGAUUUGGGAUGGAAGUAAAAUGUGUCAUUGAAAGUAACAAAUGCGAAAUUUUUAAUGACAAUUUUUUGCAUCGUUAUAUAAUUUUUUCUUGACAUAAAUUUUGCGUCAUUAAUUAACGACAUAAUUUAUGUAUCAUUAAAAAGUUAUUCAAAUAAAAAAAAAAUCUCUUUCUUGACACAAAUUUGAGGUGUAAAAAAAAAGGCCUAACUUUUCAUUUGCGCCGCCGUUGCUCUUUGUGCCCUAUCGAAAUUUUUCCGUUGCCGUCUCUCACGAACAAUCCAACCGAUCGUUAUCGUCGUCUCCCUCCGCCAUCCACCACUCAUAGAUGUUCGCCAUCCACCCCUCGCAGAUGUCCGCCAUCCACCGCACGCAUAUCCAUCGUCUCCCCUCAAAGCGAUUUCUGCCAUUGUUAAAGGAAUCGCACCGCAGACAAUUUUCGGCCCACGUCUUCUUCCUCCAAAGUGUCGUUAAAGCUGUCAUUCUCGGAAUCGAUUUUCGACCUUUGAUUUCCGGCCGUAGACGCUUCAGCCUCUGAUUUCUGAUUUUGACGUUGCUCUUUUGGACGUUGCUCCAUUUGGAGAUUGCUCCAAUUCCCCUUCAUCAGAGUUUUUUUCCCUUUUCUUCAUUUGGACGUUGCUCCAAUUCCUUCCGGUUAUUCCUACAAUUCACUUUUUUAGGGAUUGUUUUCCACUUCUUUGGGGUUUGGAUUGAUUAUUUCUCAAAUAUAGUUUGGGUUUAAGGAUUGUUGAGCAAACUGGUGAUUGCAUUAUUGAAGUUAAAGAGUUUAGGUAGAAUAGAAAAUGGAAAAAAGGAGAGUUGUUCAGAAUGAAUUUGAUGGAAGGAUGAAGAGAGGGAUUGUAAGUCUUUACAUAAACUAAAAGCUGAUACAGAAAAGAAAAAAGGUUAAAAAGAAUAUGAAAAAUUUGGUAACUUUAACAAGAGAGAUAAUGGUUUCACAAUCCGGAUUGAGCUUCCUAGUCAUUGCCUCUUUUGAUCUUAAAUAGUAAACAAACACAAUUCCAUUGUAUAUAAUCAUUAAAACAGUUGAUAUUAUUGCUAAACCUAAAAAACAUCAAGUUAGAAAUAGCACAUACCCACUCUCCUUCACACUAAGGUUGGUUAGUGAAGGGUAUAAGGUAGGUGUUGUCAAGCAAACUGAAACUGCUACGAUAAAGGCUGAUGGGUCGAAUAAGUUAGGCCCGUUUUAUAAGGGAUUGUCGGCUUUUUAUACUAAAGCAACCUUGGAGGCAGCACAGGAUUUAGGGGGAGCUGAAGAGGGAUGUUCUGGAGGGAGUAAUUACUUGUUCUGUUUGGUUGAAAAUAGUAUGUUGGUGGAUAACUUGGACUGUAGAAUCGAAAAUGGGGUUGAUGUGAAAAUUGGGAUGGUUAUAAAAUAAAAAAAAUUAAACUUAAAAGGAGCUUUAAUGUCACUUUUCAAAAAGCGGAUGUUUAAUGUCAGUUUUAAAUCGACAUUAAAACUCCCACUUUAAUGUCGGUUUAAAACGACAUCAAACAUCCGUUUUUUGAAAAGCAACAUUAAAGUUUCUUUUUCAUUUUUUCCGACCGAUAUUAAUGGCCAGAUUUUUUCUAGUGAGUUCACUCCACUUUACUCCACACCUGGUCUCAAAGUAUACUCGAAUUUUCAUAGAUAUUGUUGAACUUCGUGCUUUUUUUUUAAUGCUAUUGUGUACUUUUUUUUAUUAUUGGUUAACCUUCAGUGAAUGUCAGGUUAAAUACUCAAUUAAUAGAUUGCAUGUUUAAUUACAUGACUUGUAGCAUUAACUAAUUAACAUGAUUUUAUGAAAUCAACUCCUAGUAACAAAAAAGACUCUUGAAUUUUCACAACUGCUUUUAUUAUUUGUUUUCAAAAUUAAUACUCAAACUUGAAUUUAAAUCCUUAAAUAAAAUUGAAGUAACUUGAAUAGCUAAGCAAUAAGUAAUAAUUGUGAUUUGAUCUCUUGUAUGGAACGAGAUAUCUUAGAUUAUCUUCAUUACUAUACUAUUAUUUGACGUAUUUGCUUGCACUCAUCAAUGAGGAGUAAAGCAAUUGAAUCACUCGAUCGAAUUAGUUUGCCUCUACUUAGAAAAUAUCGAGGUCGAGGCCUACUCACACCCUUUGUUUUAAAUUGAUGCUAAAUAAGGAGAGCAAAUCAAAGUAAUUGGUUCUGCCUCGACCUUGGACUCCAAUUCGAUCCAGUGAUUCAAUUGCUCUACACUGCUACCAAGAAGAAGGCUUUAUAGAGAAUCAUGCUCUACGCUCUAUGGAGCCUUCUUCUUGGUUGCACUUUCCUUUUUCGAAAAUGAUGAAGGAAACCCCAACCUUUCUGAUAGCUUAUUUUUAUAAAUAUUAUCAUAUCCUGGCUUCAUAACUCUAGUAAACACACAAAUAUAUUGAUCAAGUAGGAACACUCUUUAGUUUGGCAUUUACGAUAAUUUUAAUCCGUUGAAUAACGAUUUAGUUUUUAGUUUUUGGUUUUUCAUAAAAUUUGUGUUUUCUCUCACACAAUUUCAUUUAUUAUGGUUUCCAACUUUCAUAGACAAAAUAUAAAUUUUUAGUCAAAUAGUGAGAAAACAAAAUUAAACCAAGAUUAUUCCAACUUUUGAAAAGGUUUUAGCAACUCGGCUUUAUUUUGGAAACAUUAUAUUUUAAAGUAGGGAGUUGAUAAAAAAGCAAUGAAAUUCAAGGCAAGGGUAUUAUAUAUAACCCUAAUGAUUAAAUUACAAAAACCAAUGUCUUGGACUUUGACUUUGACUUUUUUUUUUUUGUAAAUAUUUAUUUUCUUUCAAAAGUUGCAAUUUUGUUUUCAUCUUUCAUGGACAUUUCGAAAAUAUUAUUCUUCAGACAGAGAAAUCUUUAGAAUUGUGAAUAAAAAUUGAAAUCUUAAAAAGGUGUGAGAACAGUGAUAAAAAAAAAAAAAAAAACAAAAAAUUGAAUAUAUUGUCUUGCCGCUCUAGCUCAUGAUACAACCAUACCAUUCAAGGUCUCAAACUCAAUUCAAAAUUUUGAACUAUUUUUAUUUCAAUUGUAUAUAUAGUUUAAGUUAAUGGUAACAUUGUAAUUUUUGAAAGAAUAAAAAGACCGUGUGUUUUAUGUAAUUUUAUUGUCCUAUAUUUUCUAAAACUAAAAAUAAAAAAAAACCAAAUAAUACUUUUUUUUUUUUUUUUUUUUGAGAUUUUGAGUCUAAACCCACAUUUAAACCUCUAAACUUCAUGAUUUGUUAUCUCUACAUUAUACAAAUGUUUUCAAGAAUAAGCUCAAGUUUUGAAAAGUGAAAAAAAGAAAUAAUUUUUGGAAACUUGUUUAUGCUUUUUAAAUUUGGCUAAAAAUUCAAAGAUGCAAAUUAAACCAUGGAGAAAUUGUUAGAAAACAAGCAUAAUUCUUACAAACCAAAAGCCAAAACAAAAUACUUACUAGACGGGCUUAAUGAUUUAUCAAACUAGGCUUAGGGAUUGCCUCCACCUUUUUCACCUGAUUUCCAGCAUGAAUAAUUUUUCCUAUCACAUUCAUGAUGAUGAUGUUUAUCCUCAAUCUCAAGUUGACGAAGCUCUUGGUGUUGAUUCUUCAAUUCAUCACAAGGCAAAGCCUUCUUUCCAUCAAUAAUAAGGCGUAAACAAGAGCUUGUGAGCAACAACACCAACAUGAUGCUUUUUACCAUCGUAACCUUAGGAGUCAUCCUAACCUUGUUUUUCUUCAAUUUUUCUCUCUUUUCAACUGCAAAUCAAGGACAAUUAAUUCUAUUUGUGAAUAAUAAAGCAUACACAAGCUAGGGUUGUGUACUUAUAAUACAAAAUAUAAUUUUGAUAAUAAAUUAGACACAUUAAAGAGAGAAUAUAUUUCAAAAGGUUUCCAAA